UCAAUAAGCGGAGGAAAAGAAACUAACAAGGAUUCCCCUAGUAACGGCGAGUGAAGCGGGAAGAGCUCAAAUUUGUAAUCUGGCGGUCUAGCGGCCGUCCGAGUUGUAAUCUGGAGAAGCGUUUUCGGUGCCGGCCCGCGUACAAGUCCCCUGGAACGGGGCGUCGCAGAGGGUGAGAAUCCCGUCUUUGACGCGGUCCGCCGGUGCCAUGCGAUACGCUCUCGAAGAGUCGAGUUGUUUGGGAAUGCAGCUCAAAACGGGUGGUAAAUUCCAUCUAAAGCUAAAUACUGGCGAAAGACCGAUAGCGAACAAGUACCGUGAGGGAAAGAUGAAAAGCACUUUGGAAAGAGAGUCAAACAGUACGUGAAAUUGUUGAAAGGGAAACGCUUGAAGUCAGUCGCGUCUCUCGGGACUCAACCGGACCUAGGUCCGGCGCACUUCCCGGGUCGGACGGGCCAGCAUCGAUUUCGACCGUCGGAGAAAGGCGCGAGGAACGUGGCACCUUCGGGUGUGUUAUAGCCUCGCGUCGUAUGCCACGGACGGGAUCGAGGAACGCAGCGCGCGCCCUCAGGGUUGACGGGGUUCGCCCACGUUAACGCGCUUAGGAUGCUGGCGUUAUGGCUUU
rnacentral:rRNA from 1 species